GCUGGCGGUGCGCCUUAUGCAUGCAAGUCGAGCGAAGCUUUUCAGUAGUUUACUACAGAAAAUGACUGAGCGGCGAACGGGUGAGUAACGCGUGAGCAAUCUACCUUAGUUACAGGGAUAGCCCGAGGAGACUCGGAUUAAUACCUGAUAUUCUUUAUUUCUCGCAUGAGA
rnacentral:rRNA from 1 species